rnacentral:piRNA from 1 species
GACAUCUGGACAGUGAGCAGGAGGCGC